rnacentral:rRNA from 1 species
AGCGAACGCUGGCGGCAGGCUUAACACAUGCAAGUCGAACGCCCGGGCAACCGGGAGUGGCAGACGGGUGAGUAACACGUGGGAACGUACCCUUUGGUUCGGAAUAACUCAGGGAAACUUGAGCUAAUACCGGAUAAGCCCUUACGGGGAAAGAUUUAUCGCCGAAGGAUCGGCCCGCGUCCGAUUAGCUAGUUGGUGAGGUAAUGGCUCACCAAGGCGACGAUCGGUAGCUGGUCUGAGAGGAUGAUCAGCCACACUGGGACUGAGACACGGCCCAGACUCCUACGGGAGGCAGCAGUGGGGAAUGUUGGACAAUGGGGGCAACCCUGAUCCAGCCAUGCCGCGUGAGUGAUGAAGGCCCUAGGGUUGUAAAGCUCUUUCGGCGGGGACGAUAAUGACGGUACCCGCAGAAGAAGCCCCGGCUAACUUCGUGCCAGCAGCCGCCGUAACAC